rnacentral:rRNA from 1 species
AACGAACGCUGGCGGCAGGCCUAACACAUGCAAGUCGAACGCUGCAGCAAUGCAGAGUGGCAGACGGGUGAGGAACACGUGGGAACAUGCCCUUUGGUUCGGAAUAACUCAGGGAAACUUGAGCUAAUACCGGAUAAGCCCUUCGGGGGAAAGAUUUAUCGCCAAUGGAGUGGCCCGCGUCCGAUUAGCUAGUUGGUGAGGUAAUGGCUCACCAAGGCGACGAUCGGUAGCUGGUCUGAGAGGAUGAUCAGCCACAUUGGGACUGAGACACGGCCCAAACUCCUACGGGAGGCAGCAGUGGGGAAUAUUGGACAAUGGGCGCAAGCCUGAUCCAGCCAUGCCGCGUGAGUGAUGACGGCCCUAGGGUUGUAAAGCUCUUUCACCCACGACGAUAAUGACGGUAGUGGGAGAAGAAGCCCCGGCUAACUUCGUGCCAGCCGCCGCAGUAAAAC